rnacentral:misc_RNA from 1 species
AGAACAGAUUGCAGCGCGUGCUGUAAUUGAAUCUAUCUUAGGUUCUAGCACUGGAACUACAAUGUCACAAAUUAUAAAGUCGAAGAGUAGACUCUAUGAUGCAAUCCAUAAAGGCAAUGGGUCUGGCACAGUGCAUGAUGUUGGCUUGGCAGGGAAUGUGGAAAACCAUCAUGCUGCGAAUGUUGCCAUAGCUAAGGAAACAGACAGUGACGUGGCAAAAGGUAAAUUGCCAGAUGUUGCAAUUGCCGAGCCUGUAUCUUCUGAACAUCCUACUGGUGCUUCAAAAGCAAACUCUUUUCCAUUUGAAGCUAUAAAGCCGAAGGAAGAAGUAUGUGAACAAUCCGAAUUGGGUGCACCUGUAACAUCUCUCGCUACUCUCCAACAAAGUGAGCCAACAUUGAAUGCACCACAAAGCGUGAAUGAAUCACAAAGCAUUGGUUGUAGCAACACGCGGAAACGCCAGAACAAGAACAAAAGAGGGCGUUCAAAGAGAGCACGAGCUGAUGGCCCGUCAUCCAUGUUCCCAGAGACAGCAAACCAAGGAUCACCUGUUUGUACAGAGACUGCAGCAAAGGAGCUUCGUGAACUGACAGCUGUGGCGGUUUGAUGACCAGUUUUUAUAUAAAGGCCAACUGGUCGAAUUGUAGGCGUUUGGUAAAUCACUCUGUAGGCCUUAUAAUGUGUACUUGGAUUGUAUUGCUACGGUCAG